UGCGCGGCGGGAACUAAUCCUUACACACUGUGUUUUUUGUUAUUACAAGAACCAUUGCUUUGGCUUGGCUUGGAAACAGGUUGGGCCAGAGACUUGAUAAACUUCAAUAUUUUAUUGAAUUGUUUUUUUAAUAUUAUUGUCAAUUUGUUUGAUUAAAUUCAAAAUAAUCUUCAAAACUUUCAACAACGGAUCUCUUGGUUCUCGCAUCGAUGAAGAACGCAGCGAAAUGCGAUAAGUAAUAUGAAUUGCAGAUUUUCGUGAAUCAUCGAAUCUUUGAACGCACAUUGCGCCCUCUGGUAUUCCAGGGGGCAUGCCUGUUUGAGCGUCAUUUCUCUCUCAAACCCUUGGGUUUGGUAUUGAGUGAUACUCUUAGUCGGACUAGGCGUUUGCUUGAAAAGUAUCGGCAUGAGUGCGCUGGAUAGUACGUUCUGAUUAUUCAAUGUAUUAGGUUUAUCCAACUCGUUGAAGGAUCAGGUGUAAAUUUCUGGUGGCAAUGGCUCGGCCUUACAACAACAAACAAGUUUGACCUCAAAUCAGGUAGGAAUACCCGCUGAACUUAAGCAUAUCAAUAAGCGGAGGA
rnacentral:rRNA from 1 species